rnacentral:rRNA from 1 species
AACGAACGCUGGCGGCAUGCCUAACACAUGCAAGUCGAACGAGACCUUCGGGUUUAGUGGCGCACGGGUGCGUAACGCGGGGGAACCUGCCCUUAGGUUCGGAAUAACUCCCCGAAUGGGGUGCUAAUACCGGCUAAUGUCCUCGAACCAAAGAUUUAUCGCCUUUGGAUGGGCCUUCGUUGGAUUAGCUAGUUGGGAGGGUAAAAGCCUACCAAGGCGACGAUCCAUAACUGGUAUGAGAGGAUGAUCAGCCACACUGGGACUGAGACACGGCCCAGACUCCUACGGGAGGCAGCAGUGGGGAAUAUUGGACAAUGGGCUAAAGCCUGAUCCAGCAAUGCCGCGUGAGUGAUGAAGGCCUUAGGGUUGUAAAGCACUUUUACCCGGGAUGAUAAUGACGGUACCGGGAGAAUAAGCUCCGGCUAACUCCGUG